CACAUAGAGCCCUCAGCGUGUCCUCCACAACACCUGCAUAAUGGGCUUACAGAGGAAAAGCAUGGUAAAGGGGGAGACAUCUCCUGCAUUUGGUUUGUUUGUGUUGCUGUUGAUAGAGAAGGAAACAAAGCAGAUCCACACACAAAAAAACCUAAGCAAAUCUCACAUUUGACCAAAUCUGCCUGCAGCUGUCAAACACUGCACUGAAUGCUUUCUCCCUCUCCUUUUCUUUCUCCCACUUGUCCCCCACGCAGGCGCGCGCGCACACGAAGACCAUGCUCGCCAAAGCACUGCACAGGAGCCCCUGACAGUGCCCGUGCCUGCUGCCUGGCGUCUCUGUCGCUCCGCUAGAUGUUUGCGCAGAGGACACCUGCCUCCGCCGCUGACUGCACCGAUCCCCGCGGCAAAAUCCACCUCGUUUCCACCUCCUAACUUUUGCAACGCGUGACGUUUUUGUUGUUGUUGUUGUCGCGGGCACCUGUUCCAAGACUAUGUUUCUAUCGGAUGAAAAAACCCUGUAGAGCCCGGGCGUUUGACUUCCAACUUGGCACUUGGAUGGAUAUUUGUGACAGGUCUGGAAAGUUGCCCUGCGUCAUGGAGCAUGGGCGCAAACUUUAAGAGCUCUCUUUUUUUUUUUUUUUUUUUUAAUAAUAGGGAGACAGUUAGAUUAGAAUGAAGGCAGGUGAGUCACCCCUCGCGUGAGAGGCAGAGCUCCGGGGCUCUCCAGGUACUGGGAACGGAAAGGCGACACGAACGAAGUCGUGAUCUGUGCGGCGGAUUGCGCCACGGAGGACGGAGGUAACGGACCGAUGAGACAACAUGGGUCCAAUGCUGUGUGAUGGACGACUGACACACCUUCUCUUUCCUCUCCUCCUCCUCUUGCGAGCUCCCCUGCUGUUCAGCUUUAAUGAGCGUACCUGUCCCAAUAGCUGCCGAUGUGAGGGGAAGACGGUCCAUUGUGAUUCAGCUGGCUUCUUAGAUGUCCCAGAAAACAUCUCUGUAGGCUGCCAAGGCCUCUCCCUGCGCUACAAUGAACUGCACACCCUGCUGCCAUAUCAAUUUGCUCACCUCAGCCAGCUUCUUUGGAUAUACUUGGACCAUAAUCAGAUUUCAGCUGUCGACAGUCGAGCAUUCCAGGGGGUCCGCAGGCUUAAAGAGCUGAUACUAAGCUCCAACAGGAUCACAUCCCUGCACAAUUCAACAUUCCAUGGAAUUCCCAAUCUUCGCAGUCUGGACUUGUCCUACAACAAAUUGGAAAUCCUGCAACCUGGUCAAUUUCAUGGCUUACGGAAACUGCAAAACCUACACCUACGCUCAAAUGGGCUGUCCAACAUCCCAAUUCGAGCAUUCCUGGAGUGCCGCAGUUUGGAGUUUCUGGAUUUGGGCUACAAUCGAAUCAAGGCUCUUACCCGUACCACCUUUUUAGGGCUACAGAAGCUGAUGGAGUUGCAUCUGGAGCACAACCAGUUCUCACGGAUCAACUUUUUUCUGUUUCCACGCUUGGCCAACCUGAGAUCACUCUAUCUGCAGUGGAACCGCAUUAAGGUGGUCAACCAGGGCCUUCCGUGGACUUGGUAUACACUGCAGAAACUUGAUCUGUCUGGAAAUGAAAUCCAGACCCUGGACCCAGCUGUGUUCCACUGCUUGCCCAACCUUCAAGUCCUCAACCUGGAAUCCAACAAACUGUCCAAUGUGUCUCAAGAGGCGGUGUCAGCAUGGAUCUCAUUGACCUCCAUCAGCCUCGCUGGGAACAUGUGGGAUUGUGGAACUGGCAUAUGCCCACUUGUGGCUUGGUUGAGGAAUUUUCGGGGAACUAAAGACACCACUAUGAUAUGCAGCAGCCCAAAGUAUCUCCAGGGAGAAAAAAUAAUGGAAGCCACAAGGAACCAUGGUAUUUGUGAGGAAACUGAUUACGUUCUGACUGAAACACCCUCACCAAUGUCAGAGCUCAUUUCUGAAGCUACCGGGGAACCAACCUUUGCCCCUACUAGUGGCUCUCCACCUAUGCCACCAGCCAGCACCUUUGGUCCUGUCCCACCAUUCAGACCUCGACCGAUUGCUCAUCCUACCUUUCCAGGGCAAAUGAGCAAAGACCCAAGAGACUCAGUUGCUAGCACUCGACCCACUCUCAUACCACCCCCAGAGUUGGAACACAUGACUCUGCACAAAGUGGUGGUAGGCAGCGUGGCACUCUUCUUCACCAUGUCCCUAAUCUUGACAAUUAUCUAUGUGUUGUGGCGGCGCUAUCCAGGUGCAACCAGGUUGCUGCAGCAGCGAUCAAUGGUGGGGCGGAGGCGUCGCACAAAGAGUCCGGAGCCAGAGCAGAACCUGAGCUCCCAGCUCCAAGAGUAUUACAUGAGCUACAACCCUGCUGCCACGCCAGAGGCAUUGGAGGUGCUAGGAAAUGGCACUGGUUCCUGCACAUGCACAAUAUCUGGCUCCAGGGAGUGUGAGGUAUGAUUCAUCGCAUCAGCCAAACAAUAGAAACUCAAAAUCAAAAUACAAAGGCUCAACAGAGAGAACGAGUACACGUGCCCACGCCCCCUACCCGGUGCCUGGCUGGGAGAUGUGCCUACCAUCCAUUAACCCCUAAAAGGAACUGCUUUGGAUGGUGCAGCAAACCACGAGCAUACAGAAGAGAGAGAGAGAGAGAGAGAGAGAGAGAGAGACAUAUACAGUGAACCCAUCAGGAUCCUACUCCCACAUUUCACAUUCUAGGAUACAUUUCAAAUUGUCCUCCACGCUAACAAGGGCAACUACUGACCACGACAAAGAGGAGAUAAUAGUUUUUUUUUUGUUUUUUUUUAUUAUUUCUUCUUAAGAUUUUAUAAUAUCUUUUUUUUGGCCUGUGGUCUUUGGUCAUCGGCUUUGCUGCAUUCCGUCAUGCUUCAUCACGACACGUUCAUCAUACUGACACGGAUGGUUGUGGAAUUGCAGUCCCAUGUUGAAUAGCAGAGCCUUGGAAGUGCACCAAUGGAUGGUUAACACCAACAUGGGAGCUUAUUGUCUCCAUGAGGACAGCGUGGCAUUGUUUUAAACACAGGGCGAGAGACUGUACACAUUCAAGAGGCUUUAAAAAAAAAAGUGUAAACUGAGCAAUGAAUCAUUUAUAAUGAAAAUGCACUCAACAGGUGGCUCUGGCCGCUUUGCUAACACAGCUGUGUAUAAUUUAAAGUGAGUUUCCAUGUUUUGAUGCCAUGUGAAACAUCAUGUUAUCACAUUUCAAUACUUUUUUUAUUUUUUUAAGAAAGACUUAUCAAAGGCUAGGAUGGUGUUAAUGUGCCUCAUUGGAGCAGAAACAUUACGAAAGGGGUUUGUGUGCACCUGUCAGUAAGGAGGCGUCUGCUCCGUCAGGUGGAAAUCAAGGCAGCAGCUGGAACAUUGUUUGAACGCCGUGAAAAGCAAACUCCCCCAGCCAAUGACCUUGAUCAUGAUGUUUUUUUGUUUGUUUGCUUUUUUUUUUUUUAAGAACACUUUUUCUAAGUUGUUUCUAAUUGCAAUCAAACAUCGACUGUCUAGUUUGAUUUGAAGGACAGUAAGGGCAAUCAGAAGCAAAAAGAGGGGAAAAAAAAAAGAAAAAGCUCCUAUCAGGGGGGAAAUGUAAUUUUCUGAAAUUAUGAUGUUGUUAAUGUUGUACUUUAUGAAUAUGUGUUUCUGCCAUUUUCAACACCAAAUACCAAAGAGCCAAAUGGAGCAUUUUUUUGGCUCUCUCCCAACCAUGGGUUGUAACAGAUCCAGGAUUUGCUCCCCUAAAAAUAAAUCCAGGAAAAAUCAAAAGAAGCCUCAACUUCCCCUCACGUCCAGCAGUGCUGCGUUGCCCAAUUGGCUUCUUUUAUUUUUUUUUAUUUUUUUUAAAUGUGUGUAAUGUGUACGUCUUUGUGAACAAAUGAUCUUGCAACGACAGUCUUCAUUGGUAAGAUCUUGUCUGAAAGACAACUUCGAGCACUGCUUACAGUUUAUGACUUCUGUUGAAUACAUGCUUCACAUUCUCCCCUCGAAGAGACUGCAGAUGUUGCUGUGUGCACUCCGCGUGUGCUUGUGUUUCAUACGUUAUGAGUUCUGAAUUAUAUUUGAGAUGCACUGAGUUGUGAAUUGUUUGUUUCAACCUUCAGACGUAAUCUUUCUACACCGGAAAAUGAUAAUUUUCUAUUGUAAAUUUCUGUUCCCCCAUUUGUUGAUAUUUAGUAUAAGCAGCUGUAUUCUUUGUUCACUUUCAACAGUAUGUUUUUUAAUGAAAAUAACGACUUUAUUGGUGAGCAAUAUGAAUUCGUCAAAUUAAAAUAUUCAUUAAUCAUU